GGGUCGGUAGUCUAGCUUGGUAUGAUACUUGCUUGGGGUGCAAGAGGUCGCCGGUUCAAAUCCGGCCCGGCCCACCA
rnacentral:tRNA from 1 species